CUUCAGAUCAUUGAUUUGAGACUUUUCCCCUUCUCUAAUAUCCUCACUCCAAUGGGAUGAAAUGUUCUUAGAAGGAAUUUGCUUUCCAGAUGUGUCUUCAUGGCUGCAUUAUUUGCGUGCUGAUUUGUGAAAUGGCUUACAUGUUAAGAACCUCCUGAAAACAGAAUGAGGAAAUCAGAUAUCCGAGUGACUUCAUCAGAUCCCAGGCUACAGUCACCUUUCCUAAGAGAGGGAAACGGAAAAGGCUCACCCACAGGUUCCGAAGGAUGUUAGGUGGGACAUUUGUGUGAUGUGCCAAGUACGGCCCUGGCGAGUACUGGGCCGCCAUCAUGACAAGCAGAGUGAACCAGUGAACCAAACCGAGAAUGGGCACACAUGGUCAAUGCUACCCCUACUCGACUCUCGCUGCACAGUGUGACCU